CUCAUAAGUAAAUAGAUAGAGCAGAAUAACUAAUUAUUAUAGUCUGAACUAUUUUUUUAAGCGUCAUAUUUCUUCUUUUAACUGCUUUCAUUUAGACCUCAUGUGCUUUGAUGUUAUGUAACAAAAUACAAUACUAUAUUCUAUUAAGAAUUUUGCUAAUGGUCCUAGUUAUUAUCUCAUCUCUAUAUAUCUACCAUAGUACUCAUCAUCUCUAUCAGAUCUAACUACUUCAUCGUUAUUCCUGAUUAUCUCUCUACCUUUGCUUCAAAUUUCUUAAAGGCCUCAAAUACAUUAGUUUU
rnacentral:lncRNA from 1 species